rnacentral:rRNA from 1 species
UGGGGAAUAUUGCGCAAUGGGCGAAAGCCUGACGCAGCGACGCCGCGUGAGGGAAGAAGGCCUUCGGGUCGUAAACCUCUGUCUAGAGGGAAGAAACCAUUGAGGUCGAACAGGCCUCUUUGCUGACGGUACCUCUGAAGGAAGCACCGGCUAACUCCGUGCCAGCAGCCGCGGUAAUACGGAGGGUGCAAGCGUUAAUCGGAAUCACUGGGCGUAAAGCGCUCGUAGGCGGCAUGGUCAGUCAGACGUGAAAUCCCGUGGCUUAACCGCGGAACUGCGUUUGAUACUGCCAGGCUUGAGUGUCGGAGAGGGUGGCGGAAUUCCGGGUGUAGGAGUGAAAUCCGUAGAUAUCCGGAGGAACACCAGUGGCGAAGGCGGCCACCUGGACGACAACUGACGCUGAGGAGCGAAAGCGUGGGGAGCAAACG